GACGUAGGGCGCGAGCGUUGUCCGGAUUUAUUGGGCGUAAAGCGCUCGUAGGCGGCUUGUUGCGUCGACCGUGAAAACCCGUGGCUUAACUGCGGGCUUGCGGUCGAUACGGGCGGGCUGGAGUUCGGUAGGGGAGACUGGAAUUCCUGGUGUAGCGGUGAAAUGCGCAGAUAUCGUAAGGAAGACCAGUGGCGAAGGCGGGUCUCUGGACAGUAACUGACGCUGAGAAGCGAAAGCGUGGGGAGCGAACAGG
rnacentral:rRNA from 1 species